rnacentral:piRNA from 1 species
UUGCAGGUAAAGGAUGGCCAGCAUGC